rnacentral:rRNA from 1 species
UGAGGAAUUUUCCGCAAUGGACGAAAGUCUGACGGAGCAACGCCGCGUGCAGGACGAAGGUCUUCGGAUCGUAAACUGCUUUUCUCAGGGACGAGCAAGGACGGUACCUGAGGAAGAAGCCCCGGCUAACUACGUGCCAGCAGCCGCGGUAAUACGUAGGGGGCGAGCGUUGUCCGGAUUUAUUGGGCGUAAAGCGUCCGCAGGCGGUCAAGUAAGUUCGAGGUGACAGUGCGCGGCUUAACCGCGCAAGGUCCUUGAAAACUGCUCGACUUGAGGGCUUGAGAGGGACCCGGAAUUCCGGGUGGAGUGGUGAAAUGCGUAGAGAUCCGGAGGAACACCAAAGGCGCAGGCAGGGUCCUGGCAAGCCACUGACGCUCAUGGACGAAAGCUAGGGGAGCGAACGG